rnacentral:rRNA from 1 species
UACGGAGGAUGCAAGCGUUAUCCGGAUUUAUUGGGUUUAAAGGGUGCGCAGGCGGGAGAUUAAGUCGGCGGUGAAAUUUUGCAGCUCAACUGUAAAAGUGCCUUCGAAACUGGUUUCCUUGAGUGUGGAUGAAGUAGGCGGAAUUUGUGGUGUAGCGGUGAAAUGCAUAGAUAUCACGAGGAACUCCGAUUGCGCAGGCAGCUUACUAAACCAUAACUGACGCUCAGGCACGAAGGCGUGGGGAUCAAACAGGAUUAGAUACCCCCGUA